rnacentral:tRNA from 1 species
UCCCUGGUGGCUCAGACGGUAAAGCGUCUGUCUACAAUGCAGGAGACCCGGGUUCGAUCCCUGGGUCGGGAU